GUGUCUUGAUACCUACUAGUAUCUGCUGAAGCUGAUCCAAGAUCAGAAAGGUCAACAUGAUCUAAUGUCUUUUGCUGGAGCUACUUUCUGGCCAAAAGAAGCACCACAAAAUCUGGAGUUUCCUGCAGGAGCCUAAAUGGAUGAAGGACUCGCCCUGGGAGUGUAAAUCUGAGUGUAGACUUACAUGUCCAGUGGGAUUGGAGUGAUCUUUCUGUGGUCAAAGCAAUGUACUUAAACAGACUGGCAACUCACCCUGAGCUCAUUUCUUGGCUUUUGAUGGAGGACAGAAAUCAUUAUCAUAUAAAUAUUUAAAUUGCCUUAGAGCAAUGGAAGUAGUGCUACUUGCAGGACCAAAAAUCAAAGGACUUUUUGUCUGCCAAUUGAGUUAACCUGGCUGUACAUGUGAGGUUUUGCAGCCCAUGAAUCCAAGUGCAUAAAAUAGACAGAAU
rnacentral:lncRNA from 1 species